UACGUAGGGUGCAAGCGUUAAUCGGAAUCACUGGGCGUAAAGGGCGCGUAGGCGGCAUGCCAAGCGUGUGGUGAAAGCCCGGGGCUCAACCCCGGGUCGGCCGUGCGGACUGGCGUGCUCGAGCACUGUAGGGGCGGGUGGAAUUCCCAGUGUAGCGGUGAAAUGCGUAGAUAUUGGGAGGAACACCAGUGGCGAAGGCGGUCCCCUGGGCCGGAACUGACGCUGAGGCGCGAAAGCGUGGGGAGCAAACAGG
rnacentral:rRNA from 1 species